rnacentral:lncRNA from 1 species
AUCAGAUCAGGGGGCUGUGUCAGAUGGUGGUGGGUGGCACAGUAAUCCAGGCGAAGAGAGUAUAACCCAGCUAGGAAGUCUUCACAAAAAGGUACGUUCUCAUACACUUUCAUAUUCAUAUUCUCACAUACACACAACAGGGAAUUAUUAUCUCUCUCUAGACACUAGACAUUACAUUCCUCCAUUGUUAACCUUGUGAACACGUAUACUGACUCUCACGCCUGAGCUAUCCCCCGACGGAACAGCCGUCAAGCUUGUGGUGUUUACCGUGUUUACAGUGAAGGAUCAGGGCGUCUUACGUGAUUGGGACGUGACAGAAGAUCUUGGCGUUAACAUUGACGCUAGAAGGAGGGGUUUGAGUUCUAGUGUGAUUGAAAUUUUCAAUCACAAUCGUUUAACCUACUUCGGAAGAUGAUGAGGAGUAGGGAUGGUACGCCAGAAGGGCAGGCGAUGGUUAUUAGCUCGUCACUGCCUCGUGUUUCGGUAAAGGAUCGUCUGGGUCCUUCUAAAAGCGCUCACGAGAGCACGACUUCUAAGUAUAAUUCAGGAGAUCUCCGUCCGAAGAUCCAUGCUGGGGCCAGACGUAAGUUGGUUUUCAAUGCGGAUAAGGAGCGUGAUCAUGGUCGAGGGCGGGCAGAAGGCUCACCGACCAAGACUCAUCGUCGAAGUGAUCAGGAGGACAGAGCUGCCAAGUU